AAACUGAAGAGUUUGAUCAUGGCUCAGAUUGAACGCUGGCGGCAGGCCUAACACAUGCAAGUCGAGCGAGAAAGUACUUCGGUACGAGUAAAGCGGCGGACGGGUGAGUAACGCGUAGGAAUCUACCUGGUAGUGGGGGACAACAUGUGGAAACGCAUGCUAAUACCGCAUACGACCUAAGGGUGAAAGUGGGGGACCUUCGGGCCUCACGCUAUCGGAUGAGCCUGCGUAAGAUUAGCUAGUUGGUGAGGUAAGAGCUCACCAAGGCGACGAUCUUUAGCUGGUCUGAGAGGAUGAUCAGCACACUGGGACUGAGACACGCCAGACUCUACGGAGGCAGCAGUGGGGAAUAUUGCGCA
rnacentral:ncRNA from 1 species